CUCCAGAAGAACCACCGGCUAACUUCGUGCCCAGCAGCCGCGGUAAUACGGAGGGUGCGAGCGUUAAUCGGAAUUACUGGGCGUAAAGCGCAUGCAGGCGGCGUGUUAAGCCAGAUGUGAAAGCCCGGGGCUCAACCUCGGAAAUCGCAUUUGGAACUGGCAUGCUAGAGUCUUGUAGAGGGGGGUAGAAUCUCAGGUGUAGCGGUGAAAUGCGUAGAGAUCUGAAGGAAUACCGGUGGCGAAGGCGGCCCCCUGGACAAAGACUGACGCUCAGAUGCGAAAGCGUGGGGAGCAAACAGGAUUAGAUACCCUGGUAGUCCACGCCGUAAACGAUGUCUACUUGGAGGUUGGUGUCUUGAACACUGGCUUUCGGAGCUAACGCGUUAAGUAGACCGCCUGGGGAGUACGGUCGCAAGAUUAAAACUCAAAUGAAUUGACGGGGGCCCGCACAAGCGGUGGAGCAUGUGGUUUAAUUCGAUGCAACGCGAAGAACCUUACCUACUCUUGACAUCCAGAGAACUUUCCAGAGAUGGAUUGGUGCCUUCGGGAACUCUGAGACAGGUGCUGCAUGGCUGUCGUCAGCUCGUGUUGUGAAAUGUUGGGUUAAGUCCCGCAACGAGCGCAACCCUUAUCCUUGUUUGCCAGCACUUCGGGUGGGAACUCCAGGGAGACUGCCGGUGAUAAACCGGAGGAAGGUGGGGACGACGUCAAGUCAUCAUGGCCCUUACGAGUAGGGCUACACACGUGCUACAAUGGCGUAUACAGAGGGCUGCGAGCUAGCGAUAGUGAGCGAAUCCCACAAAGUACGUCGUAGUCCGGAUUGGAGUCUGCAACUCGACUCCAUGAAGUCGGAAUCGCUAGUAAUCGUGGAUCAGAAUGCCACGGUGAAUACGUUCCCGGGCCUUGUACACACCGCCCGUCACACCAUGGGAGUGGGCUGCACCAGAAGUAGAUAGCUUAACCUUCGGGAGGGCGUUUACCACGGUGUGGUUCAUGACUGGGGUGAAGUCGUAACAAGGUAGCCCUAGGGGAACCUGCGGCUGGAUCACCUCCU
rnacentral:rRNA from 1 species